GAAACGUUGGUUUGUUUUCAUGGCCGCACGUACGACCGGCUCCUGGUGGAUAUAUUGUGGUUUCUUGGCUUAAUUAACCAGGUAACAGCUUCCUCCGACACCUGGGAGCAGGAGGGAGAAGAGAAAACAGCUGAGCGCCGGCUCCUGACGAUACUAAUGAAAAAAGGCAUCAAGCGACUCUUCACUGAGCAGAGACGUAUUUGCUGAAGCUGUCAGAACAGAGCGAUGGAGCGCAAACCACCGGGAGUGAUCAUUGUUCUCUCCAGCAGUCAAGCAGCGCAUCAAAUAGGUAAAACAUCAGUCACCUAUCAGCUCACCGCGUCCCACUAGAUUGAUGGGAUCAAACCUUGGACACAAGGACAGCAGGUGAACGAACAGGCAGCAUAUCGCUGCUGUCAGCGGAAGACUGUUCAUCUCCAAACUGCCAGCUUUUCAGGAAUCUGAAAAAUUGCUUGUUUUUAAUUAAUCACUGUGUGUAAGAGUGCCAGUUAUUUUCGACAGAAUUGAGUAAAACCAAAUCGUCAAAAUCUUCUUCAGCUUUGCUGUUUAACAUGUUAUCCUUCAAUUUGUAUAAAAAUUUUAAAUCACCUUAACCUUAAUCCCUUAUUGGUAUUCUAGUACAAUAAAGCAGAAAUU